UAGGGAAUUUUCGUCAAUGGGCGCAAGCCUGAACGAGCAAUGCCGCGUGAGUGAGGAAGGUCUUCGGAUCGUAAAGCUCUGUUGCAGGUCAGAAAAGAAGGAAAGAGGAAAUGCUUUUCUUUUGAUAGUAACCUGCCAGAAAGUCACGGCUAACUACGUGCCAGCAGCUGCGGUAAUACAGUACU
rnacentral:rRNA from 1 species